UGUAGCUCAGUGGUAGAGUGUUUGCCUAGCAUAUGGAAGGCCCUGGGUUUGAUUCCCAGCA
rnacentral:tRNA from 1 species